AAGUCGUAACAAGGUUUCCGUAGGUGAACCUGCGGAAGGAUCAUUAAUGAAAUUCUAGGACGCUCUUUUUAGAGGUCCGACAAAAUCAUUCCUUUCUACACUGUGCACACACUACCUUUUUUACACCCAAUUUUUUAACACCUUAGUAUUAAGAAUGUAAAUCAGUCUCUUAAUUGAGCAUCAAACAAAUAAAA
rnacentral:misc_RNA from 1 species